CUGCAUAGGCUCUGAUCUGGGCAGUGCUACUGCGGCCUUGGGAGCUGCUUUUAAGGCAUAUGCCUUAAUGAAAGGUCAUUGGUAACUUAAUUCCCCAGAAGCUGGGAUGUGUGUCUGUAGGCAAAUUAAAGUUCUGCAUGCCUCCUCCCAGAUUAAGAAAGAUUAGUUGCUGUGCUAUCCCAGCUUCUGAAAGAAUGGUGGGAGAUGGAAUUAGAGACUCACCUGUGGGCUCUGCCAGCUGCAGCCUUCCUCCACUGGUACCCAGGAAAGUGGUGCUACAGCACAUGAGCUAACAAAAAAGUACUGGGAAAAUACUACUCCAAACAAAUUCUUUUACUGAGAAACUGAAAUGCUUAAUAGAUUAGCAAAGUCAUGUGUUUCUAGUUUUAUAAGUCUUUCCACUGCAGGACAGCUCCACUGUGGUGCUGCUGACCCACUCUAGCACCAAUUGAUCCUCAGCACUGGCAGUCCUGGACCAACAGCUCCUGUGGAAACCUACAGUCCCUGCAGAGGCCUGGAGCUACUACUGCUGGACCACUUCCUGCCUAGGGACCUUAGGAAGGGUCUGGAAGGUGGCUGGCUUUGAAAUCCAUCUGAUAGCUGUUGCACUUGGAGCCCGAAAUCACUGCUCCUGCCUUUGUGUCAUCUCUUGGGUCCAGGCUGUGCUGGCUUAAUCAGGAUAUAAAUGACGUCUCCUUUCUCACUGGGUGGUGCUUAUCUGGGUUGAUCAUUGCUUUGGACAUGGCAGGAGCUAAUGAUGCUGCUUG